UUCUGCUUUUUUUUGUUCGGAAAACAAGAAAAGAAGAAACGAGCGCCACUUUUAAUUUAAUACUCCUAACGGAUGCGUCUCUUCCUUUUAUUAAUUCCAAAAUGUUUCUUGACUUCCUUUAAUACUCCUAAACAACGGGGAUUACUCCGUACCAAGGAAUCGACAAUGUUAAUCUUCUCCAUGGAGGAUUAGGGUCUCGCCCCCGAUGAGGAUUUUAGAGCGCAAGGUGCGGAGAACCAGACUUGACAAACUCACAAGUCGCUGUUAAAGACGUGUUUGAAUAAAAAUAAAGAAGAAGAGUCCAAAGAAGGUAACAAAGAGAAGAAAGGCGAGUAAAAAGCUAUAUUGUUGGAGGGAGGAAAAAGACGAUAGUGGGGAAUGAAUUCUAAAUUCCAAUACAAAAGCAAAAGGUUGGUAUAUGAGUUACUGAAAUUCCACUUGAAUAUAUAUCCCCUGUCAAACUGAUUUUGUAUGAUGAAGUUGCUUAACAUGCGUUGAGGAACAAUUCCAGUCAGUGUUUGGCCCGACCUGCCAUUUCUCUUUUUCGUCGUCACAGUUUCCUGAGUAGAUAAAAAAUCCUUGAGCAGCUUAACAAAAAAAAAAAGUAAUAAACUUAGACGUGUAAUAUUGUUUUAAAACUGUAAACUUCUCAAAACAAACCCUUUUUUCCCUUUCUUUAGGGAAUCUCAUUGCAGAAUAAAGUUAUGCAUACUUACUUUCUUUCCAUUUCUCUUUCCUCACUUCCCCGUAUCUUUGGUGAGCUCUGUCUUUUUGACAAAGGCAAACCAAAGGAACAAUAGGGUAACAAUUUAAAACGGCGUACUCAAUUUAAGAUGAAAAAUAUGUUGAGUACAUGUUACCAUCUUUUUUGCAUUCUUUUCACGGGAAGAUGAUAUAUAUAUUAAUUAUCUUCCAUCUUUACUUUAUUAACUGUGAAAUUGCCAGACUAUUUGUGCAUAUAUAAGAUGCCGUAGGAUGUUCUAUGCAUUUUUAAAGUAUCUCACAAAUCUCCUAAUCUCUUUGUGAUCUUAGGCGACACUAUGCACCCCUUAGAUAGGAAGGGGACACGUAAAAGUUUGUAUUAUCUCUUCUCACAUAUCUACUUUUCUAUUUAAAUCUGGAUUACUACUGAGCAGAGCACUGUUCAAUAAUUUACCUUUUUUCUUUCAAAUGUGAUAUUAUGACACAAUGUGGGAGACUGGAGCAUAAAGCGUCUCCGUAGAUGGGGUACAUUUCCAGGAUGCUGUAAAACAAUGCUGGUUGGAGAGUCUGCAUUUGCUUUUGGAGAAGAAUCUGGUUGCAUAUGUAGUGUGGUGUUUGGUGAUGAAUAGUUGUGUUGAAGUGAGAGGGAAGAGAAAGAGUAGCCAAUUUGCAGAGACUGAUGAAUUUGAAGACAAAAUGAAGGAGUUGAAAACCAUCUGCAAUCCAGUCAUUGCUAAGAUGUAUCAAGGUGGUGUUGGUGGAGCUACUAUGGAUGAAGAUGGUCCAUUCCAUUGGUGGUGCUACUGGAAAGUAGAAGCGAUGCUGAACCAAAAACUGAAAAAGCUGAUUAAGAGCUUUUGUGGGGGUUAUUUAUUUAUUAUAUAUGGUGCUGGUUUUCGGCAACUUGCUAAAUUUCACCAUGCAUGAUGCAUCGAUCAUCGCCUUUAGUUUUUUAGUGAGAGAUGGAAUUAAUUAGCCUUCUUUAAUUUCUAUUCCAGUUUACUUUUUGUUGUCAAUAUGUAUAUUUUCAAAUAGAAAAUAUUAUUUUUAUCCCAAAAAUGUGCUUUGGUAAUUUAAUA